ensembl:lncRNA
GCUGGGGUUAGGGGUGAAGAAAAAGGGGAAAUCAAAGUUGGGAGCACGGUCCCCGAAGGGGGCCGCGCUCCAAUGCACAGACCAUACCUGCUCCCAUCUCAGGCAUCCAGGACCCCCCCAGUGGAGUUCCAAAUGGAAUGUCAUAGAUGCGGUUCGAGAGGUGGGGGGAGGAGGGGUGUAGAGGUUAGGUUUAGGGUCCACUCAAGGGGUGGGGGAUGAGGGGUUAGGGUUAGGGUAGGGGAAUUGAUUCCUCCUACGAGGGUAGAAGGAAGGUGCACGGGCCAUCCCACGGGAGAACUCCCGAUCCCUGUCUGGGUUCUCAAGGAAGGGACGAUGGCGUCGCCUUCCGUAGCGGACUACUUGCCACUCGUCCGCCAUGACGAGUGGUUUUUAAUUUACUAUUGUAAAUAUAAAUGAAAUAAAACAACCUUGUUUUUAAACAACUAAAAGAGAGCCCAAAGGCUUCAAAAACCCUUAAAACAAAACACCGUAAAUUCGGUUCCAAACAACUAAAAGAGAGCCCAAAGGCUUAAAAAUCCCUUAAACUAAAAUACCGUAAAUUC